CCUUCAAUAGCUCAGGUGGUAGAGUAGCGGAGAGGACUGUAAGUGCUAACAAGGCCAUCCUUAGGUCACUGGUUCCAAUCCUGCUUGAAGGA